rnacentral:tRNA from 1 species
GGCUCGGUAGCUUAGUUGGUAAAGCGCUUGCCUAGCGAAUGGUCGUGAGUUCAAAUCCCACCUGGGCUG